AGGGGGAUAACUACUGGAAACGGUGGCUAAUACCGCAUAACGUCGCAAGACCAAAGAGGGGGACCUUCGGGCCUCUUGCCAUCAGAUGUGCCCAGAUGCGAUUAGCUAGUUGGUGAGGUAACGGCUCACCAAGGCGACGAUCCCUAGCUGGUCUGAGAGGAUGACCAGCCACACUGGAACUGAGACACGGUCCAGACUCCUACGCGAGGCAGCAGUGGUGAAUAUUGCACAAUGCGCGCAAGCCUGAUGCAGCCAUGCCGCGUGUAUGAAGAAGGCCUUCGGCUUGUAAAGUACUUUCAGCGGCGAGGAAGGUGUUGUGGUUAAUAACCGCAGCAAUUGACGUUACCCGCAGAAGAAGCACCCGCUAACUCCGUGCCAGCAGCCGCGGUAAUACGGAGGGUGCAAGCGUUAAUCGGAAUUACUGGGCGUAAAGCGCACGCAGGCGGUCUGUCAAGUCGGAUGUGAAAUCCCCGGGCUCAACCUGGGAACUGCAUUCGAAACUGGCAGGCUUGAGUCUUGUAGAGGGGGGUAGAAUUCCAGGUGUAGCGGUGAUAUGCGUAGAGAUCUGGAGGAAUACCGGUGGCGAAGGCGGCCGCCUGGACAAAGACUGACGCUCAGGUGCGAAAGCGUGCGGAGCAUACAGGAUUAGAUACCCUGGUAGUCCACGCCGUAAACGAUGUCUACUUGGAGGUUGUGCCCUUGAGGCGUGGCUUCCGGACGUAACGCGUUAAGUAGACCGCCUGGCGAGUACGGCCGCAAGGUUAAUACUCAUAUGAAUUGACGGCGGCCGCACAAGCGGUGGAGCAUGUGGUUUAAUUCGAUGCAACGCGAAGAACCUUACCUGGUCUUGACAUCCACAGAAGAAUCCAGAGAUGGAUUGGUGCCUUCGGGAACUGUGAGACAGGUGCUG
rnacentral:rRNA from 1 species